rnacentral:misc_RNA from 1 species
GUCAGCGAGUCUGUUGCUAGAGUUGUCUGUUGUCUAUCCAACGUCGGUCUUUGAAUACAUAAUAUACAAUUGACUUAGCUCGGUACGCGUAUACGUAUAGGUAUUCAGUGUAAGGUGCGCUUCAAUAGAGUAGAAACAAUUGAGUAUUAAUUUUUGAAUACUUUAGUUCGAGAUUUUAUUUUAAAUAUAGGACUUUUUUUUUGACAACAUACGUUUUUUUUUUUUGUAAGUACCUAUUAAAAUGUUUAACAGUUCAACAAUUAGUUUAGUUAAUUAUACUCUCCGACCAUGCGGUGCGAGUACGUAAUAUAGGAUAUUAUAAAAAUAUAUCGUUUCAUUAUAAUCACUCAUAAUAACUAUAUAUAUACAUAUAUAUAUAUAAAACCAAACGAUUUCUAAAAGCACUCUAACGUACAUUUUCCGAGUAUCAUUCGCACGUGUGUGCCGACUAAAGAAAACCGUGUUGGAAAAUAUAUAAAUAUAAUGGCGAAAUCUAAAUCUUCGGGAAGCGGAAAUCAUCUCAAAUCACGCUAUACAACUGGUAGCGGUACAGGAGCCGGUACAGAUGUGGAAGAUUCCGGAACAAACAGUCCGCAGGCAGCUUUGGGAUGUGGAACUACGUUUGAAUACGUAGUACUAGUAACGGCGUGCUCAAUUUUGCUAUUAGCUGUCACUGGCACUACCGUUUACUGGACCAUGGCCUAUCGAGGCGGAUACGACCCCAACUGGUUUCCCUGGCCACCGCAGACCCCGAAGCAAAUGUUAUCCGUAGGCGUGUUUACUUAUAAGCACCCGCAAAACUUCACUGCCAGUGGCAGCGAUAUUAGUACGACAACAAUUGCAACAACGACCACGACGGAACAACAACAAUCUUCGCAGUUAAACAUAUCGUCUUUAAACAUUUUGAUCGAAGAUCGACGGUUCAACUUGCAUCCAACCCUGAUGACGGUCGGUUUCGUCACUUUAACCGGAUUCUCUAUAUUGGUGUACAGAAUGGCAGCUGGAUGUUCGACUUCGUGCAGGGGAACUUAUGUGAAAUUAACCCACGGACUAUUGCAUUUGGCUACUGUACCGUGUGUGGUUUUGGGAGCUGUGGCCGCUAUGGAAUAUCAUCGUUUGAAAGGCUUACCGCAUUUGUAUUCGUUACACAGUUGGAUGGGAUUAUUGACUGUUUCGCUUUUUGUAAUUCAGUUCACUCUUGGAUUGUUCACGUUCGUUGUGCUGUUGUGUUGUCGCGGCGCAACGGCUGUGUGUCGCUUACGAUGUUUUGCGCCCAUACAUGCCACCCUGGGACUGUGCACGUUCACAUUGGCCAUAGCUACCUGUCUCACCGGACUUCAGCAACGCGCUGAUUUCUCGAUAUUCAGCAAUAAUAAUGGGCAACAGCAACAGCAAACUACUACAGCGCAGACGCCAUCAUUGUCUCCGUCGUCUUUAAAUUCGGGCGAACUACACGGCCGCACGUUACCCCAACAAGCAAUUAUCAACGUCCUGGGCAGUACUGUUGAUGAUGGCCCUGGUGUUUGUCACAGCCGCACUGUUGUCGCAAAAGAAAUCCUGCCGGAGAAAUUCGUCAUUGUCGUCGUUGUCGCCGUCCACGAUGAGAUAUUGCAGAAAUGGCGGUCAGUCGUUCCAACUUGUGCCGUCCUCCCCAGCUGCGGCGGACGGAUCGGAUCACGGCGGCCGCAACGGCCGGAUGUGAUCAUUACAAUUUAUUAUAUUAGAUUGUUUUACGACGAGGACGACGACGACGACGACGACAACCAUCACCACCGCCACAACGACCAGACACACGCGCAUCACAUAUACAAAAUACUAUUAUAAUAUGUUGUUCAUACAGUCGACACACGCUAUAACAUUAUACAGAUCGUACACUUUAAGGCCAAUUAUAUAUAAAGCACACUUUACAAAAUAUGACUUGUAAAAACUAUAUGAUAUUCAUUCGUACACCGAUCGCGAAAAGCUCCGACGUACAGACGACGUAUAAAGACCACCGAAGUUCCCGAACAGCCGGACAUAACACGGCAUACAGCGAAACGAGCGUUUCAACACCGUGACGCAGAUGGCGACUACGUCGACGACAACGACACGAGAACGGGACGCAGCCCAAGACAACUACCUGUUGCGAGACAGUAAACAGACAAUAUCCGAGUUGAUCAAACAAAAGUUACACUUGAACAAGGAACCGGUAGUGGUUAAUGUGUUGGCCGUCUUGCUAGUAUCUGUGUUGGUUAUUGUGUCGUACACGAUACGCCGAGAG